UACGUAGGGUGCGAGCGUUGUCCGGAAUUAUUGGGCGUAAAGAGCUCGUAGGCGGUGUGUCACGUCGGCCGUGAAAACCUGCAGCUUAACUGUGGGCGUGCGGUCGAUACGGGCAUCACUGGAGUUCGGCAGGGGAGACUGGAAUUCCUGGUGUAGCGGUGAAAUGCGCAGAUAUCAGGAAGAACACCCGUGGCGAAGGCGGCUCUCUGGUACGUGACUGACGCUGAGACGCGAAAGCCGUGGGGAGCAAACAGG
rnacentral:rRNA from 1 species